CGCCCAGUAACCGCUAACGUCCCCCGUGUCCCCGCCCAGUCACCACCCCUCUCCUCAGUGACGCCGCUCAGUCUCCUCCGUAUCCCCGCCUAAUCUCCUCCCUUUCCUCCAUGUCCCCGCCCAGUCUCCUCCCCACUGCCCCCCCUAUCACCGGCCAGUCUCCGCUCGCGGGCGCGCGUACACAUAUUGGGGGUAGAGCGGAAGCGCCGCGUUCAGCGGGUGAGUGUAAGAAUUCCUCCAGGAAACUACUGCACAGAGAUGAGACCGCUGAUAGCUGAUGGAGGAGCUGCUGGGUGGAUAAAGGUGUAAACAAAAACAAAAAAAAGACUGAUGGAAGAAUCUCCAGUGUAAGAACAAAUAAGGAGCAGGAUUCCCACUAAGAAUAUUAGAAAACACUGUGGAAAGGGACAUUGUUCUCUGAUCAGCCCAAACCUUCUACAGCGAAUUAGUUUCUCAUCUAAUACAUGAUGAAUCGCAAAGGAGAGAAACCUCAUCUGUGCUCUGAGUGUGACAGAUGUUUUACAUAUAUAUCACAGCUUCUCGUACAUCAGAGGAUUCACACAGGAGAGAAACCAUUUAUAUGUUCUGAGUGCAGCAAAUGUUUUUCCCAGAAAUCAUACCUUGUUAUCCAUCAGAGGAGUCACACGGGAGAAAAACCAUAUACAUGUUCUGAGUGUGGCAAGUGUUUUACUGAGAAGAAACAACUUUAUAGACAUCAGAUGUAUCAUACAGGAGUGAAGCCGUAUAAAUGCUCUGAAUGUGGCAAGCGGUUUGCCAGGAAUAAACCACUUGUUAUACAUCAGAGGAUUCACACAGGAGAGAAACCAUAUAAAUGUUCUGAAUGCGGCAGGUGUUUUACUAACAAACAUCACCUUGUUGGUCAUCAGAGAGAUCACACAGGAGAGAAGCCAUUCAAAUGUGAAUGUAGUAUGUGUUUUAAAACUAAGCAACAACUUGUUAAACAUCAGAGGAGCCACACAGGAGAGAAACCAUAUAGAUGCUCUGAAUGUACCAUGUGUUUUUCCCAAAAGGUACAUCUUGUCUGUCAUCAGAGGACUCACACAGGAGAGAAACCAUUUAAAUGCUCUGAUUGCUCCAAGUGUUUUAGCAAAAAGUCACAUCUUGAUAGACAUCAGAAGACUCACACGAGAUAAUGCAUUUACAUGUGUUGAAUGAAGUAAGAGUUUACUAGAAAAACAACACUUGGUUAUCACAUGGUGGUCACUCUGAGAUCCCAAGGAGCAUAUCCAAUUAGAUGUGGGGUUAAGAACCGGUGGGGUUCACACCCAGCACUAUUAAAUUAUUUAGUAUUUUU